rnacentral:rRNA from 1 species
GUGCACCAGGCGAGAAACCUUCGCAAUGCGGGAAACCGCGACGAGGGGACUCCCAGUGCCUACGCUCAGCGUAGGCUGUUCCCGAGCCUAGAAAGCUCGGGGAGUAGGGGCUGGGUAAGACGGGUGCCAGCCGCCGCGGUAAUACCCGCAGCCCGAGUGGUGGCCACUAUUAUUGGGCCUAAAGCGUCCGUAGCCGGCCCGGUAAAUGCCUGGGUAAAUCGUGAGGCCUAACCUCACGAAUUCCGGGUAGACUGCCGGGCUAGGGACCGGAGGAGGGAGAGGGUACUCCAGGGGUAGGGGUGAAAUCCUGUAAUCCCUGGAGGACCACCGGUGGCGAAGGCGCUCUCCUAGGACGGGUCCGACGGUGAGGGACGAAAGCCAGGGGAGCGAACCGGAUUAGAUACCCCCGUAGU